UACGAAGGGGGCUAGCGUUGUUCGGAUUUACUGGGCGUAAAGCGCACGUAGGCGGAUCGUUAAGUCUGGUGUGAAAUCCCGGGGCUCAACCCCGGAACUGCACUGGAUACUGCCAUGCUUGAGUACUGGAGAGGAGAUUGGAAUUUACGGUGUAGCAGUGAAAUGCGUAGAUAUCGUAAGGAAGACCAGUGGCGAAGGCGAAUCUCUGGACAGUUACUGACACUGAGGCACGAAGGCCAGGGGAGCAAACGGG
rnacentral:rRNA from 1 species